rnacentral:rRNA from 1 species
CCUACGGGAGGCAGCAGUGAGGAAUAUUGGUCAAUGGGCGGGAGCCUGAACCAGCCAAGCCGCGUGAAGGAAGACUGCGCCAAGCGUUGUAAACUUCUUUUGUCGGGGAACAAAGUGUUCCACGUGUGGCGUUGUGUAUGUACCCUAAGAAAAAGCAUCGGCUAACUCCGUGCCAGCAGCCGCGGUAAUACGGAGGAUCCGAGCGUUAUCCGGAUUUAUUGGGGUUAAAGGGGGCGUAGGUGGGUUGUUAAGUCAGUUGUGAAAGUUCGGGGCUCAACCGGAAGAUGGCAGUUGAAACUGGCAGUCUUGAGUAGAGGAGAGGUGGGCGGAAUUCGUGGUGUAGCGGUGAAAUGCUUAGAUAUCGCGAAGAACUCCGAUUGCGAAGGCAGCUCGCUGGACUGACACUGACGCUGAGGCACGAAAGUGUGGGUAUCGAACAGGAUUAGAUACCCUAGUAGUC